UGCGUUAACGAACGAGACCUUAACCUGCUAAAUAGUUAGGCCAACGUUUGUUGGUCGUCAACUUCUUAGAGGGACUAUUGACUAUUAGUCAAUGGAAGUUUGAGGCAAUAACAGGUCUGUGAUGCCCUUAGAUGUUCUGGACCGCACGCGCGCUACACUGAUCAAGUCAACGAGUUUACAACCUUGGCCGGAAGGUCUGGGUAAUCUUUUGAAACUUGAUCGCGCUGGGGAUAGUCCAUUGCAAUUAUUGCUCUUCAACGAGGAAUGCCUAGUAAGCGCGUAUCAUCAGUACGCGUUGAUUACGUCCCUGCCCUUUGUACACACCGCCCGUCGCUAAUACCGAUUGAAUGGCUCA
rnacentral:rRNA from 1 species